AAUAAUAUUUUAUUACAACUUUUAGUAUAACAUAGUAAAUAAAUUUUAAUCACAAUCGUGUCACUAUCAACACUAUCAACUUUAUUUUCUUCUGUUCACAGAUUUACCCAGAUCUACACUGACUGUGACUCCAGACAGUCCUGUAUUCACUGGAGAGAGAGUGAUUCUGAAGUGUGAGAUUGAGUCUGUACAGAGUACAGAGACUGGACAUGAAGAAAACAUGAAACCUUUCGUUGUUUGUUUGUCAAAAUGUUCAAUAAACUAUCAUAUAAAAAAAGUGAUUUAUCCAAGUAUAAUCUCAUAAUUUUAGGCAUAACAGUUAAAUGUGCUACCCUUCACCAAAAAAAAAAACAACAUUGAACUUGUUCUAUCAUGUCCGCAAAUGUACAUGAUCUGAAGAAAAUAUAUAGAAAACAUCACAUUAUGAAUUAACAGGUAUAGAAAUUUGAUGUCAUUAUGAAACCUAUAACCUAAACUAUAACAUGAAUAUCUUUAUUAUUUCUGUCUCAUAGUCUCGAGUUUCUUCUACUAUAAAAACAGAGCUGGAUUGUGCAGAAAGAAAACAGUAUUAAAAAUAAACUGAACACGAAGACUGGAGUAAAUAGACUCUGGAAUAGGCUUCUUGGGCGCAGACUUCACUGCUUCAGGCAUUAUAUUCUUUACAAUAAAUAAAAAUGNAAAACGGCGGUCUGUGAUUGCGAGUCUGCAUUGACCAACCCACAGAAUGAUUUCAUUGGCCGAAUCAGAGCCAAUCAGAGGCUUUAAAAUGUUAAUCCCGCCCAUCACCUCAUGCUUUACAUCUAUCAUCAGAUCUGUUCUUUUGAUUGAAGAGGUUGUGUUUUCUCCAGGAGUGUCUUAACCUCCGAAUCCGUACAGAGCGCGUCCCUGUCGUUUCAGAGCAUAAACAACAUCAUGGCGGUGACGCGCUUUCUUUUCGCGGGUUCAGUGUAGCUCACAGCAUCGAGAAUAACAUUCUCCAGACACACCUUCAACACACCGCGCGUCUCCUCGUAGAUCAACCCGGAAAUACGCUUGACGCGCCGCGGCGCGCAAGACGACGAAUAGCGGGUUUAGUGACUCCCCGGAAAUUAUCACCAGGAACCUUCCGGUGACGCUCAGCGCCUCCUUUUCAGAGACCUUUACCGCCCUUUCCUCACCCAGACAUGCUUAUGACUAUAUUCACAAACACACAAACUCUCUGAAUAAAACAAUUGAGGAAAACGGGUGUUUAUACUUCGCUAACGGACCUAGGUG
rnacentral:lncRNA from 12 species